UGAGUGCGAGCUGCUACGGCAGCGAAGUUGGUGACGUCAAGCUUCCAAGAAAAGCCCUAUACCCGUUAAGGCAUCAUGGCCUGUACCCGAAACCGACACAGGUGGGGUGGUAGAAUACCGAGGGGCGCGAGGUAACUCUCUCUAAGGAACUCGGCAAAAUGGCCCCGUAACUUCGGGAGAAGGGGUGCCACCGCAAGGUGGUCGCAGUGAAGAGGCCCAGGCGACUGUUUACCAAAAACACAGGUCUCCGCUAAGUCACAAGACGAUGUAUGGGGGCUGACGCCUGCCCAGUGCCGGAAGGUUAAGGAAGCUGGUCAGCGCAAGCGAAGCUGGCGACUGAAGCCCCGGUGAACGGCGGCCGUAACUAUAACGGUCCUAAGGUAGCGAAAUUCCUUGUCGGGUAAGUUCCGACCCGCACGAAAGGCGUAACGAUCUGGGCGCUGUCUCGGAGAGAGGCUCGGCGAAAUAGAAUUGUCUGUGAAGAUGCGGACUACGUGCACCCGGACAGAAAGACCCUAUGAAGCUUUACUGUAGCUUGGUAUUGUGCCCGGGCUCUGAAUGCGCAGGAUAGGUGGGAGGCUUUGAUCAUCGGCUUGCGGGUCGAUGUGAGCCAACGGUGAGAUACCACUCUUUCAGAGCUAGGGUUCUAACAGUCACCCGUUAUCCGGGGACUGGACAGUAUCAGGUGGGCAGUUUGACUGGGGCGGUCGCCUCCUAAAAGGUAACGGAGGCGCGCAAAGGUCUGCUCAGGCUGGUUGGAAAUCAGCCGACGAGUGUAAAAGCAGAAGCAGGCUUGACUGUGAGACCUACAAGUCGAACAGGGAGGAAACUCGGCUUUAGUGAUCCGACGGUUCUGCGUGGAAGGGCCGUCGCUCAACGGAUAAAAGUUACUCUAGGAUAACAGGCUGAUCUCCCCCAAGAGUUCACAUCGACGGGGAGGUUUGGCACCUCGAUGUCGGCUCAUCGCAACCUGGGGCUGAAGUCGGUCCCAAGGGUUGGGCUGUUCGCCCAUUAAAGCGGUACGCGAGCUGGGUUCAGAACGUCGUGAGACAGUUCGGUCCAUAUCCGGUGCAUGCGCAGGAAUAUUGAGAGGAGUUCUCCCUAGUACGAGAGGACCGGGAGGAACGCACCUCUGGUGUACCAGUUAUCGUGCCAACGGUAAACGCUGGGUAGCCAUGUGCGGAGAGGAUAACCGCUGAAAGCAUCUAAGUGGGAAGCCCACCUCAAGAUGAGUAUUCCCAUGGCGUUAGCCAGUAAGGUCACGGGAAGAACACCCGUUGAUAGGCUCUAUGUGGAAGCGCAGUAAUGCGUGAAGCAGAGGAGUACUAAUAGACC
rnacentral:rRNA from 1 species